rnacentral:rRNA from 1 species
CGGGAAUCUUCGGCAAUGGACGGAAGUCUGACCGAGCAACGCCGCGUGAGUGAAGAAAGUCUUCGGAUUGUAAAGCUCUGUUAUUAGGGAAGAAAAGUUAUGACAGGCAAUGGUCAUAAAUUGACGGUACCUAAUGAGAAAGCCACGGCUAACUACGUGCCAGCAGCCGCGGUAAUACGUAGGUGGCGAGCGUUGUCCGGAAUUAUUGGGCGUAAAGGGUGCGUAGGCGGUCUAUUAAGUCUGAUUUGAAAGGUCAUGGCUUAACCAUGGAAUUGGAUUGGAAACUGGUAGACUUGAGUGCAGAAGAGGAAGGUGGAAUUCCACGUGUAGCGGUGAAAUGCGUAGAGAUGUGGAGGAACACCAGUGGCGAAGGCGGCCUUCUGGUCUGUGACUGACGCUGAUGCACGAAAGCGUGGGUAGCAAAC